CCCGGACGUGCUGGCGAUUUCGUCUGGGGGUGGGAACUACCUACGCUGUUCCCGGUUCCGCGCCACCGCAAUCCUGAGGCUUAAAUCCUCCUCCCAAGCAGAUACCUCCUGCAACCCUAGAACCAGGUGAAGGAGUUGGUGCUUUCUAAAAUCAAAGAUAAUGGGGGGGGAGUGAGGGGGGGCGCGAUAGAUGCCUGCGUGUCCCUGGAAUCCCUGAGUCGCCGGGGGCUGGGAAAAUGCCCUUCCAGGGAUUCCCCUCCCUCAGGCAGCCGGGCGUCCGCCUCCACCUGCACCCUAGGGCAGGUUCCUCUGUCCCUUUCUCUUUGCCUAGUUCCAUGCCAACUAAGCACUUGGUUUUUCCAGUUUGCCUUUAACUAUCAUCCUAACGAGCACCUAACCUUAGCUGCACGUUUAAUGUGUGCCUGGCAUGGUGUUGAGCGAUUUGGUAAGCAUUAUUUCACCCAGUCUCCAACAGUCCUAUGAGGAAGAGGCUCCAAUUAAUUACCGUUUUACAAAAGAAACACCAAAGAGGCUAACUGCAUCCGGGCUUGCCACCAAUGUAUGGGGGCGGGGAGGAGGGGGAUUGCCUAAUCCUGUAAUAGGGAAAUGAUUAAGGGUCAUUCACUAUUCGUGAAGAUAAGGCUGUCCAAUGACACAUACUACGUAGUCACUAGUGGGGGAGGGGCUGUGCUUCGACUUUGACGAAUACCAAAAUUCUCCGGAUACUCAGGUCUUUUAAUGCAAAGACUCCCAGGGAAAGAGAAACAGGCAGUUACCUGACACGUGCUGGCCAGCCAGCCUACUGUAAUUGGGGAGCUACAGGCCAAUCAGAUCCUGUGUCAAAAACGACAGCUCAAAUUGUAUUCUGGCCUCGUGUGGACAGCACACACACACACACACACACACACACACACACUCAUGCAGACAUGCACACAUGGCAGAGUAUUUACAUAGAACUGACACCUAUUCCUCCACAUACUUUAAACCAUUUCUGAUGAUUCAUAAUGUCUAAUGCAUGCAAAUAUUGCAUAAAUAGCUGUUAUACUGUUUUGUUCAGGGAAUAAGGACAAGGAAAAAGAAUUCAGUGCAGAUACUCAGCGCAGAUAAAAUUUUCCCCUGAACAUUAUCAGUCCUAGGAUUCAGAACUGCAAAUAGGGAGCGCCAACUGUGUAUAUUUGUGAGGUACGCUGGUAUCCACAUCCUCUGCCCAAAGCCAUACCAGGGACUGUGAAAAGUUCUGGGGCACUCUGCUACCCUGGAAGUGUCUCAGGAUUUGUGGGCAGAAGUUGAACAGAGAUGAGUGCUCCUGGGGGCCAGCUGUGUCCAAAACAUGGACAGGAGCCAGGGUGUGAGACCUAUGGAAUGCUCACAGUAGUCAGAGGAACACUCCAAAGGUGGCUGGGGCAGGGUCUCAGAGACAACGGGAUUCCCCAGGGGAAUGGGAAGUACUCAUGUAGGCUCUCCCCCAAGUCCUUGUACAAAUGGAGAAACUGAGGCCUGAAAAGAAAAGGCUCAGGCAGCCUUCACAAUGGCCCGUCUCGCCCCCUGGACCUCCCCUGGAUGUUGCCUGGCUACAUCUGGUUCUCCAUUCUGGACUCCUUCCUGGCCCAGGAGCUGGUCACUGGCAACAGUCUCACAGAUAGCAAAAUAACCAGCCCUCACAAGCACUGAACACUGGGAAUGGAAACCAUUAUGUUGAAAUUAUCCACAUAGGACCAGCGUUGGAUCCGUGGGAUGCAUGGAAGAGCCAGGCACUGCAGGCACACCGAUGAUUCCCGGGCCUGAGAAACUCAAACAAGGGCAUCUGGCCAGCCAGCCUGACUAAAGGAGGCUGUGAGCGCCAGGCCAGUGAGAGACACUGUUUUUAAAAAAUAAUAUGGAAAGCAAUUGAGCAAGGUAUUCAAGGUUGACCUUUGAUCUCCAUGUGCACACACAUACACACACACACCACACUUACAUGCACACACACACACACCACACUUACAUGCACACACACACACACCACACUUACAUGCACACACACACACACCACACUUACAUGCACACACAUACACACACACCACAUUUACAUGCACACACAUAUACACACACACCACACUUAUAUGCAUAUACAUAUAUGCACACAAACAUGCAAAUUCAUUAUAAACUUAUGCCCCAUUUAUGAGCCCCUCAAACAAAAUCUAAAUAGCCUGGGUUCCUAAAUCAGCAUUCUCCUGAAAUAUAUUUUUGCUUUGUGGUCUCUUUCCUAAUUUACAAUUGUCUACUAUUCUCUCAAAGUAAUUAUUUUCUUCCUCCUCCUCCCCCUCUCCCUCACUCCCUCUCUCCUAAGUCUCAUAUAUCCCUUGACCUAAAACUCACUAUGUAGCUGAGGAUGACCUUGAACUUCUGAUCCUCCUGUCUCCACCUCCUGAAUGCUGGGACUACAAGCAUGCACCAUGGUGCCCCAUCUAUGGGGUGCUGUGCACAGAAUCCAGAGCUUCAUUCGUACUCGUCAGCCCCUGGGAAUGGAAGAUUCUGCUUCGUUGGGCUUCUGGUGUUUCCAAAUAUGACAGAAAAGUAUGAAACAACAGAAAAUGUUCCUCAGUGGGAAAGGGUCAGCCAUGCCGACACAGCGAUGCCUACAGAAGCCAGAAGAGGGUUCAGGUCCCAUGAAGCUGGAGUUACAGGCAGUUUUGAUCCACCCAACGUAGGAACUCGGAGCCAAACACAGGUCCCCUGCCAGAGCAGAAGAUGCUUAACUGCUUAGCCAUCUUUAGGCAUGCAAAAAAAAAAAAAAAAAAAAAAAAAAACUGAGCAGAAGAUGCAGCCAUGCCCCAGGUACGUGCCACUCACACUAGGGAACAGUACCCUAGUUUCACUGUUGACAAAAAUAAAAAAGCAAAGUAGGGAAGAUAGGAUUUAUUUUAUCUCACACUUCCAAAUUUCAGUCCAUCAUAGUAAGAACAUCACAGCCGCAAAUGCUUACAGGAGCUAGUCACAUCGAGCACAGAAUGAUGCCUUCUCGGUGCUCAGCUGGCUUUGUAUACUCUUCCAAUCCAGGGCCCAACAGCAGGAGAUGGUGCCGCCCACUUUCACACUGAGUCUUUCCCCAUCAAUGCAGGCCAUCAUGACAGUCCCCCACAGAUGUGCCUACAGGUCCACUUGACCUAGACAGUCUCUCGCUGAGAUUCUCUUCCCGGGGAUUCUAGGUUGUACCAGGUUGGCAAAACUAACCGUGACAUGUAGCCUUCCCCACCAUCAACAUCUGCAUCAGAGCGGCCCGUUUAUUAUAGUUGAUAAACCUGAUAAUCUCACGAUCCGCUGAAUUCCAUAGUUUCUUUCCAUUAGGGUUCACUCUUGGUGGUGGACAUUUUAUGGGUUUGGACAAGUGUACGGUGACAUGGUUACCAUUAUAGCAUCAUACAUACCUUGUGUGGGGCAGUUUCACUGUCUCCUGGGUACCAGCUAUCUCCCCUCCCAUCCCCAACCCCUGUCAAUACAGGAUCUGCUCCCCCUUCCCACUGGUGUGCCUCUUCCAGAAUGUCACAUCGUUGGAGCUACGCAGUGUUUUGCCUGCAUGUGUGUUGUGUACCACAUGCAUGCCUGGUGCCCACGGAGACCAGAAGAAGUUAUCAGAUGCCCUGAGACUGGAGUUAUAGAUGGUUGUGAGCCAGCAUGUGGGUUAUAGGAAUCAAACCCAGGUGCUCUGGAAGAACAGCCAGUGCCCUUUACCAUCCUUCAGCAUUUAAAUUCCUUUGAACGUCAGACUCAAAUCAUAACCAGCAUAUAACCUUUUCAGACUACCUUCUUUCACUUAGUAAUAUGCUUUUAAGAACAUUUGGUUGUAAGCCGGGCAGUGGUGGCGCAUGCCUUUAAUCCCAGCACUCGGGAGGCAGAUGCAGGCGGAUCUCUGUGAGUUCGAGGCCA